UCUCACACAUCUCGAUUUCUCUCUCUGUCUCAAACAGUGCACUCCGCCGCCAUGGACCUUGCAGCGCGCCGCCCUAAUGCCAAGUCCCUCCUCGCCGUUCCUGCGCCGCCAAGCCGAAGCCUCGCCCAAGUCCAAGCACCGCCGCCGUUUGCCUCCUCGCCAUGGCCUCCCCUGCAUCGUCUGCUUCGUGGACAGAGCUCCGUCUCCGUCAAUGUGUCCUCCCGCCGUCUCUGUUUGCUGUCGGGCUCGAUCGACUCCAGCAGCACCCCCACGGUGACGCUCCGCUCGGCACCCGAGAUGGAGUAGGAGGAUGAGCAGCAGCAACAAAUGAACCUGAUGGUGAAGAAGCACCUGAUGACCAGAACUCGUUCAAGUGCUCUUUAGUCCUUCCAAAGCAAGGAGCUUUGGGCCUAAUUUUUUUGGAGUGUGAAGCCAUGAAGCCAAGUGCGAAUCAGUGAAGCCCUACUUAGCAAAGAGUUUUUUUGGUUCUGUAGUAGACUGUAAAUUGUAAUAUUGUAUCAGAUUGUAAAAGACUAAUGUAGUGUUAUUUGAUGAAUUAUAUUUGUCCCGUCCUAUUUGAAAUAGUGAUUAUGUAUGUUAAAAAGAUGUGAAAUGGAAACAUGACCAGCGGGACCAAUUUAUGCCCCACUUAUGAAUAUAAUUUGAGAUAUUUUGAAUUUUUUGA